AAACAAUGUCGACUUGGAGGGUUGUGCCCUUGAAGGCGUGGCUCUCCGGAAGCUAACGCGUUAAGUCGACCGCCUGGGGAGUACGGCCGCAAAGGUUAAAACUCAAAUGAAUUGACGGGGGCCCCGCACAAGCGGUGGAGCAUGUGGUUUAAUUCGAUGCAACGCGAAGAACCUUACCUGGUCUUGACAUCCACGGAAGUUUUCAGAGAUGAGAAUGUGCCUUCGGGAACCGUGAGACAGGUGCUGCAUGGCUGUCGUCAGCUCGUGUUGUGAAAUGUUGGGUUAAGUCCCGCAACGAGCGCAACCCUUAUCCUUUGUUGCCAGCGGUCCGGCCGGGAACUCAAAGGAGACUGCCAGUGAUAAACUGGAGGAAGGUGGGGAUGACGUCAAGUCAUCAUGGCCCUUACGACCAGGGCUACACACGUGCUACAAUGGCGCAUACAAAGAGAAGCGACCUCGCGAGAGCAAGCGGACCUCAUAAAGUGCGUCGUAGUCCGGAUUGGAGUCUGCAACUCGACUCCAUGAAGUCGGAAUCGCUAGUAAUCGUGGAUCAGAAUGCCACGGUGAAUACGUUCCCGGUCCUUGUACACACCGCCCGUCACACCAUGGGAGUGGGUUGCAAAAGAAGUAGGUAGCUUAACCUCGGGAGGGCGCUUACUCAC
rnacentral:rRNA from 1 species